rnacentral:rRNA from 1 species
CUGGCUCAGGAUGAACGCUGGCGGCAGGCUUAAUACAUGCAAGUCGAACGGUAAGGCCGAGUGCAGCAAUGCACAAGGUACACGAGUGGCGCACGGGUGCGUAACGCGUAUGCAACCUGCCCCCAACCGGGACAAAACAGCUGGAAACGGCUGCUAAUAUCCCAUGGUCAUGCGGAAGGGCAUCCUUCUGCAUGUAAAGAUUCAUUGGUUGGGGAUGGGCAUGCGUAUUAUUAGGUAGUUGGCGGGGUAACGGCCCACCAAGCCGACGAUGAUUAGGGGUCCUGAGAGGGUUAACCCCCACACUGGAACUGAGACACGGUCCAGACUCCUACGGGAGGCAGCAGUAGGGAAUAUUGGGCAAUGGAGGCAACUCUGACCCAGCCAUGCCGCGUGAAGGAAGACGGCCCUAUGGGUUGUAAACUUCUUUUGCCGCAGAGUAAACCCGGCCACGUGUGGCCGGUUGAGAGUAUGCGGCGAAUAAGUAUCGGCUAACUCCGUGCCAGCAGCCGC